rnacentral:sRNA from 1 species
GCCAGGUAUAGUGGUGCACACCUGUAAUCCCAGCUACUUGGGAAGCUGAGGCAGAAGGAUCACAAAUUUAAGGUCAGCCUGGGCAAUUUGGUGAGACUCAGUCUUAA